rnacentral:misc_RNA from 1 species
GGCUACAAACGAAUAUGGAAUUCUUCGAAAAAUUAUUCUGAUAACAAUAUUGAUGGUAGUUGUUCCGCUGUAUUGAACAAAACACGAAAAGAUCAUUUUGAAAGAAAGCCCAGACGAUUUUUCUAGCUGUUCAGAAAACGAAGACAACACUGUGAACAAUGAUUCCUAUAAUUUAAUUUUUUUUGGCGAAAUGACUGCUAUAAGUUGAAUCAGACUGUUAAAUUUAACAAUAUACAUGUAUCAUUAUAUUGGUGAACAAACUGAAUUGUUACAUUUUUAACAAGUUUAACAUAUGUACUACUCUGCUGUGUGGUUUAAUUGCGGCUGUUGUAUGUUAAGACCUAUGAUAAGAAUACACAAUUUCACUUGUCAGAGUGUAUGUUGCCGUGUUAAGACUGUUUUGCAGUUUGUUAUCAAAAGCUUAUAACAAAGUGGUGUGAUCUAUAUGGUAUGUCUUGCUUGCGAAAUACAGCUAAGAAGUGAAUAAGACUUUUUUCAAUUUAACAACUAACUGAAAUGUUACGUUCUUUAACAAAUUUACCUUAUGUUUUACUCUGCUGUGUAAUUGAAGAUCCAUUAUUGCCGUGUUGAUACUUUUUCAGCAAUCAAUUAUCGAAAUCUUUUUAGAAAGUGGUGUGAUCCAUACCUGCGAAAACUGUGUAAUCGUAGAAAUAUUUAUAACAUUAAAAUAUCAUUGCAUAAAUAAUGCAAUAAAAAUUAUUUAAAAUCUGUAUUAAUAGAAUGAAAAUGUAUCAUACAUGUAAAACAUAUUCCAAACGACACACAUACCUUUUUGAAAGUAUGUUUUAUUUUUCAACCCUAUAAAAGUACCACCAACUAGGCAUAUAUGAUUCUACCACAUAUACAAUUAGCUGAUCCUUGUUUAUUCACAUAGAUUUAUUUGAAGAAAUAAAUUAGCAAAAAAU